GGCACAAGAACUGCUUUCGCUGUGCCAAAUGUGGGAAGAGUUUGGAGUCGACCACUCAGACGGAGAAAGAUGGAGAAAUCUACUGCAAAGCAUGUUAUGCAAAGAACUUUGGACCAAAAGGAUUUGGAUACGGUCAGGGAGCAGGAGCUCUGGUUCACGCUCAAUGAUAGUCAGGACUUUGCAUGUUUCUUUACUAUCAUAAACACAAGGUUGUUACUCAUUUCAAAAGAAGAGAAUGAUUAUUUUGCAUAAAG